rnacentral:tRNA from 1 species
GAGGGUAUAACUUAAGUCAUAGAGUGUGUGCUUAGCAUGCACGAGGUCCUGGGUUCAAUUCCCCAGCACCUCCA